UGAACUGAAAACCCACAGCAGAUG
rnacentral:piRNA from 1 species